rnacentral:rRNA from 1 species
CCUACGGGGGGCAGCAGUGAGGAAUAUUGGGCAAUGGGCGCAAGCCUGACCCAGCAACGCCGCGUGAAGGAAGAAGGUUUUCGGGUUGUAAACUUCUUUUCUCAGGGACGAAGCAAGUGACGGUACCUGAGGAAUAAGCCACGGCUAACUACGUGCCAGCAACCGCGGUAAUACGUAGGUGGCAAGCGUUAUCCGGAUUUACUGGGUGUAAAGGGCGUGUAGGCGGGACUGCAAGUCAGAUGUGAAAACCAUGGGCUCAACCUAUGGCCUGCAUUUGAAACUGGAGGUCUUGAGUACUGGAGAGGGAGACGGAAUUCCUAGUGUAGCGGUGAAAUGCGUAGAGAUUAGGAGGAACACCAGUGGCGAAGGCGGUCUGCUGGACAGCAACUGACGCUGAGGUGCGAAAGCGUGGGGAGCAAACAGGAUUAGAUACCCUUGUAGUC